GACGAACGCUGGCGGCGGGCUUAACACAUGCAAGUCGAACGGAAAGGCCCUGCUUUUGUGGGGUGCUCGAGUGGCGAACGGGUGAGUAACACGUGAGUAACCUGCCCUUGACUUUGGGAUAACUUCAGGAAACUGGGGCUAAUACCGGAUAGGAGCUCCUGCUGCAUGGUGGGGGUUGGAAAGUUUCGGCGGUUGGGGAUGGACUCGCGGCUUAUCAGCUUGUUGGUGGGGUAGUGGCUUACCCAGGCAUUGACGGGUAGCCGGCCUGAGAGGGUGACCGGCCACAUUGGGACUGAGAUACGGCCCAGACUCCUACGGGAGGCAGCAGUGGGGAAUAUUGCACAAUGGGCGGAAGCCUGAUGCAGCAACGCCGCGUGCGGGAUGACGGCCUUCGGGUUGUAAACCGCUUUCGCCUGUGACGAAGCGUGAGUGACGGUAAUGGGUAAAGAAGCACCGGCUAACUACGUG
rnacentral:rRNA from 1 species